GACGAACGCUGGCGGCGUGCUUAACACAUGCAAGUCGAACGGAGCAUACAAAGAGGAAAUUUUCGGAUGGACUCCUUGUAUACUUACGUGGCGGACGGGUGAGUAACGCGUGAGAAACCUGCCUUUCACAAGGGGAUAGCCUCGGGAAACUGGGAUUAAUACCCUAUGACACUUAUUAGCCGCAUGGCUAUUAAGUUAAAGAUUACAUCGGUGAAAGAUGGUCUCGCGUCCUAUUAGCUAGUUGGUGGGGUAACGGCCUACCAAGGCUUCGAUAGGUAGCCGGCCUGAGAGGGUGAACGGCCACACUGGAACUGAGACACGGUCCAGACUCCUACGGGAGGCAGCAGUGGGGAAUAUUGCACAAUGGAGGAAACUCUGAUGCAGCGACGCCGCGUGAAUGACGAAGCCUUCGGGUCGUAAAGUUCUGUCCUUGGGGAAGAAACGGACGGUACCCAAGGANGAAGCCCCGGCUAACUACGUGCCAGCAGCCGCGGUAAUACGUAAGGGGCGAGCGUUGUCCGGAAUUAUUGGGCGUAAA
rnacentral:rRNA from 1 species